rnacentral:rRNA from 1 species
GACGAACGCUGGCGGCGUGCUUAACACAUGCAAGCCGAAGGGAAAGGCCCUGCUCUUGUGGGGUGCCCGAGUGGCGACCGGGUGGUUAACACGUUAGUAACCUGCCCUUGACUGUGGGAUAACUUCAGGAAACUGGGGCGAUUAUCCCAUAGGAUCUCCUGCUGCAUGGUGGGGGUAGGAAAGUUUCGGCGGGUGGGAAUUGACUCGCGGCUUAUCUGCUUGUUGUUGGGGUAGAGGCUUACCAAGGCUUUGAAGGGUAUCCGGCCUGAGAGGGUGACCGGCAACAUUGGGACUGAGAUACGGCCCAGACUCCUACGGGAGGCAGCAGUGGGGAAUAUUGCACAAUGGGCGGAAGCCUGAUGCAGGAACGCCGCGUGAGGGAUGACGGCCUUCGGGUUGGAAACCGCUUUCGCCUGUGACGAAGCGUGAGUGACGGUAAUGGGUGAAGAAGCACCGGCUAACUACGUG